AUUGAACGCUGGCGGCAGGCCUAACACAUGCAAGUCGAACGAGUGGCGGACGGGUGAGUAAUGUCUGGGAAACUGCCUGAUGGAGGGGGAUAACUACUGGAAACGGUAGCUAAUACCGCAUACUAUCAGAUGAGCCUAGGUCGGAUUAGCUAGGUGGUGGGGUAAAGGCCUACCCAGGCGACGAUCCGUAACUGGUCGGAGAGGAUGCUAAGUCACACUGGAACUGAGACAAGGUCCAGAAUCCUACGGUAGGCAGCAGUGGGGAAUAUUGGACAAGGGGCGAAAGCCUGAUCCAGCCAUGCCGCGUGUGUGAAGAAGGUCUGCGGAUUGUAAAGCACUGUAAGUUGGGAGGCGUUACCAACAGAAUAAGCACCGGCUAACUGCGUGCCAGCAGCCGCGGUAAUAC
rnacentral:rRNA from 1 species